rnacentral:lncRNA from 1 species
GACCUAUUCACACCGACAAAAUCAUCAAUCUACAUAUCUGGAAGCCUCACACCGACCGAAGCCUCUAUAUAUACCAAAACCGACCUAUUCACACCGACAAAAUCAUCAAUCUACAUAUCUGGAAGCCUCACACCGACCGAAGCCUCUAUAUAUACCAAAAUUCGCAGUCUCUGGUUAUCGGGUUUAGUUGUCAAUCAAAGCUGUCAUAGAGUUUCAUAACGUUCAGUCCUCCAAAUUAGCAGAUUCGGUGAUUGAUCAAAUCCUGAUAGAGUUUGGGUUCUUCUUGAUACUGUUACCUCUUCUAGAUUAUCAGAUAAAGAGAGGGAUAAGAGAACGGGGGAAGAAGGAAAAGAAGAAGAAAAAUAGAGAUUAGAAACUCUUGCUUGCUUGAGAGAAAACAAGUGGACGGUAUUCUCUCUACAAUUUGAACGAUCCUACCACGUCCCCCACUGAAGCUGUCCUGUUUCUCAAUUCUGAAAAAGAUUAGAUAGCAUUUGAGGUGUUGUCAAUUGUGAAGCUGCUGCUGCUGCUGACAUUCCAAUAUCAUCUUUCUCAGUGAUGUCAACAGAAAGUGGAAAGAAGAACAAAUUUUUAGGAGGCGAUAAUAACAGUCCAAAGAGAGGACAAAGAAUACUUAAUGAUCAGAAUCUAACUACUCUUCCUAACAUGACCAUGGAUUGUAGAAGAAAAUCAAAAAGAUGGAGAGAAGCUUCUGAGACAUUGAUCACCAAAGAGAGUCAGAGUCAGACUUGCAGCAGCAAUAAUCAAAAUGGGAUGACAACAAACAGUGGAAAAAGUAAACUAAGGAGAGUUUCGGGAAGUGAUCUUGCUAAUAUGAGCAUGGAUUGUCGAAGAAAAUCAAGAAGGUGGAGAGAAGCAUCUGAGCCAGUGCUACUCGAAAAGAAUCAGACAUCUGAGAGUCAUGAUGAAAAUAAUCAGGGAAGUAGAAAUGAUCGACAAAAAAAUUCAGCUGCUUAUAGUACAUAUAUGAUAGGUGAAUCUUCUUAUUCAAUUGGUCAAGCAGCCUAUCAAAAAACUAAAGAAGGACUAAUUGUGAAAUAUGAGGACUCUGGAGACAACGUCUAUAAUUGUAUUUAUUGCGGUGCAUACUUUUGGCACGAAGAAGCUAUAAAACAAUCAUCUAUAAAUGCGCAACUCAUAUAUACAAAUUGCUGUAGAAAAGGACAGAUUAAACUUUCACAACCUAAACCAACUCCUAAUUUUCUUAGAACAUUAUUGAAUGACAAACAGUUUAAAGAAAAUAUUCGAAUUUAUAAUUCAAUGUUCUGUUUCACAUCAAUGGGAGCAAAAAUUGAUCAUAAAAUAAAUGCUGGAUCAGGUCCUUAU